UUGAAUCGAAAAUCGAUUUUGAAAUAUGAUGAACAAUGCAACAAAAAAAAAUAAAAAAAAUUAGAAAUGUAAAUAACAAACGAAUGAUGACGACCUGAAACCUAAAAAUAGUUUUUUUUCAACCAUCAUCAUCAUCAUCAUCAUGUUCAAUGCCUGCCCUAAAGACGUCGAAAAAUUCAACAUUGAAAUAAUCAAACUAACACACACACACACCGACUGAUGAUGACUGGCAUCGCACCAAAUUGGGAUACCGAAUUGUCGACGAUUAUUACAUUAUAAUGAUGAUGAUUCCAUCACACAUCACACCGAAUUCGGAUGAAAAACAAAAAUUUAAAAACUAAGACACACGUCAAUAAAGAAUUUUACUAUUUAAUGAAGUAUGUGUAUUAUUGCCUAACAACAACGACAACAACAACAACAACAAUUUAUUAUUGAAUGAGAUAUUUAGAAUCUGGAUCGUAUAAAAUUGGUUCAGAUCAUAGAUAAUAUAUAUCGGAGGGGAACAAAAUUUCAGAAUCGAAAAAAAAGAAAGAAAGAAAUCAAGGCAGAUUGAAAAAACCGCUCAAAACCAAACACAAAUGAACAAUGAAUGUCGAUGUUGAUGGUCAGUGGCACUACUUAAUCGAAUUUUGAAAUUAAUUUAAUAUAAAUAUAAAAUUUUGAAAAGUUUCA